AAGGUAUGAUCCAUGGAUCAGGAAACCAGCCUUCCCUAGACAUGGAAUCUGCUGGCACCUUGAUUUUGAACUUCCCAGACUCCAGAACUGGGACACAGAAAAAGGAGACAAAGAAACCAUGGUGUCUCAGGGGAUUUUAGUGGAACUGAUGCAAGCAGAAGCCUGAAAUGUGUUUCUGCAUUUCUGCUUUCUUUUGUAGACUCCUGCCCCUGCCACGAGAACACACCCUUUCCAGUUUGCUGGAGAAAUAUAAGAGAAGUCCAGUGAAAGAGAGCUGAGUUUCCCCAAUGAUGCCAUCAAGAUGAACUAACUACAGUUAACCAGCCAGCUGAUAGCAGAUGCAUGAGUGAGCCCAGCUGAGAGCAGGUGAGCAUGGCCCAGAGCAGCAGAGCUGCUGAGCCAGUCCCUGAGUUGAAACAAAAUAAUAAGUGGUUAUCUUCAUCCAUUAAGCUUAAUUUGUUGUACAGCAAUAGUGUAUCGAUACCUUGUCUCCCUGUUUGCUACUUCUAAUUUCACAUUUUCUUCUCUCGCUCUGACCUUCUUGCCUCCAUCUUAUGAGGACCUGUGUGAUUACUCGGACCCACCCAAAUAAUCCAGCAUAGUUCCCCAUUCCAACAUUCUUAACUUAAUCUGCAAAGUCCCUCUUGCUAAAUAAGGUAACAUAGUUACAGGUUCUUGAGAUUAGGAUAUGGACACCAUUGGAGACUAUAUUAAGCCAUUCUGCAUUGCUAUAAAGGAAUACUUGAGACUGGGUAAUUUAUAAAGAAAAGGGUUUUAUUUGGUUCAUGUUUCUGUAGGUUGUGCAAGCAUGGCACGUGCAUCUGUUUGGCUUGUGGUGAGGCCUCAGGAAGCUUACAGUCAUGGUGGAAGGCAAAGAGGGAGCCAGUACAUCACGUGAACUCGUAGAGUGAGAACUCAUUCACUACCAUGAAGACAACACCAAGCCAUUCCUGAGGUAUCAGCUCCCAUGACCUGAACAUCUCCCACUAGGCCCACCUCCAACACUGGGGGUCAAACUUCAACAUGAAAUUUGGAGGGGACAAACAUCCACGUCAUAUCAGAUAUCAUUAUUUAACCUACCAUAUCCUUGGAAUUAGGGGUUGAUGUGUUACUGCAGCAUAGUUUAAUGUAUGCUGAGGAAUAUGGAAGCCAUAGUAAGUUAAUACUAAAAUCUCACUGGACAUUAACUAUAGAAGUAUGCCCAAGGUAACUAUUUAGUAGACAUAAUCAGCCUCAACUUUUUGUUGUCUUCAUGAGGUUGCAAAUUAUAGAACUUGCUUAUGAAAGUUAAUACAAAAUGCACAAAACUGAGAAUUGUCUGUCACCCUCUGGUUUCUGGUUUCUAGGAUUUCCAGGCAAGAUAAA
rnacentral:lncRNA from 10 species